CGCACUGACCCCAAUUACCUCACUGUGCACUAGCUGUUAGCAUUCUAGAACUCUUCUUUCCCUUGAGUUUCUGCUGCUAUUCACUUUGGAACACUUCCAUCAUCUAUUUUCACCCCCCAAAUAACUCCCUGUUGUUGAAGAAAGUCACUUAACUUUGAUGACUCUAUCUCACACGGAGGCAGUCAUUCAUUCAUUCACCGUGCCUUGUUCUAGGCACCGGAGAGGGAGAAGAGAACACACAGACAAAAAUCCCUGCCCAAGCUCCCAUUUCUGGAGGGGCAUGGAUCAUAAACAAGACAGCAAAGUCAAAUAUACAGCACAGCGGAGAGCCUAAGCCCUAAGGAGAAGAAUGAAGUUGGGGCAGGAAGAGGGGUAGAGAUGGCUGGAGAAGGAGGGGCCGUGGUUUCUGCCAAGCGGAAGAACAUGAAAAAUAAUCUGGGCCCAAUGCAACCACUUUUUUUGAAAUUCUGUGUUUGUUUAUAGAGGAAAAGCAAUAACAGAUCACUGUCAAAAUGCAAUUGGUUUGGGCUCUUACAUAUCUUCCUGGAGAACGAUUCGUUCACUAUUCCCGGCUAAGAGGGCUAUGGAUACACACUCUGGUUGAAAACCUGGAAACGGAGUGGAUGUCAGAACCUGGAUGAUGAAUCUGGCUUCUUUUGCACUGCUGAGUUGAUGAAUGGGAACUGCUGAUAAAUCCAUACAAAUGAGAACUCUCUGGAAGAAUCUGACAAAAGCUGUCAACUCUCCAGAAAAACAUGGGCCUGCACUCACGAAGGACGACAUGUAAUUUGGAGAUGUAGCAGUUCCAUCGGAACACUGAUGAAGUCCCACCACUCACCCAAAGCUUGGCUGCCUUCUAUGACACCCAAACAAGAAGCUGUCCACUUUAGAUCGAUCAAGUCACGGCCCAACGUUGGUGCUUCAAACCCGAGACCAGAAGGCUGUCUCAGUCUGCUGCUCACCUCAGGAGCUCCUGCAAGGCUUUGCUUCUCAUCCUUCACUUUAAAUCUUGGCUUUUGCUUCUCUUCCUUUGUCUUUGGAUAAGGAUUCUCUCCUGCAUGUCUGUUUCUUUUGGAUGUAUUUGUUUUCCUUUUCUUCUCCUUUGGACGAUGUUCUGGGCUUUCUGAUUGUGAUUCCCAUUGAGACGCUGCCUACAGAUGUAAUUCCUUUGGAGGAGGAUGCCAGGUGUCUCACCCCAUCCAGCCUGAGGUUCCUCACUCACAUAUGGGUGAUGGGACAUGCACUGACUGAGAGCUCGUGGCUGCAGAGGGUGCCAACACUGUCUUGAGGCUGCUCUCUUAUUUCCUGCUCAUGUUGAACCCAAAUCUGUCCUUUUGUAGCUUCUGUCCCAUUGUGUUUGUAGCUCCCACCUCUCGGGGCCACAUGGAGCAAGCGCCAGACCACAAACUGUGGUGGAGUGGGGACAUGUUUACUUAGUCUAUGUUCUCCUGGCAGCUUCCCCUCCAGAACUGGGCAGGGGCCCACCCAAGUCGUACCCGAGAGUUCUCCCACCCAGUUCUUUCUGAUGAAAGUACUCAAGCCUCUAGGCCAGGAAAAACAUUACUCUUUUUAGCUGGUGGGUCUGCAUUCCCUUUUGUCUGCUGAAGCCGAUGCUUCCAGAAUGGGAGCUCGGUUUGAAGAUGGUGUCUUAGUUCCUGGUGAGCUACCUGCACGCUGUAUUGGUGGGUGGAAGAAACUGGAGCUAUAAGCUUAUGGGGUCGGUCUGCUCCUCAUGAAGAGGCUUCAUUUUCACUUUAAAGGGCGGAUCAAAUAGACUUUUCAGCACACGCUCUUCUCUUUGAAGCCCUGGUUUGUUUCGCAAUCAGUAGAUAAGUGAUGGGCCCUGGGUGCUACCAGCAUUAUUGCAGCCUCUUGCUCUCUGUUUCCCAGAAACGUUGUCUUGGUGCCAGUGGCAGGAGCUUUCUGAGUGUCUGCAAUGUGGUGCUGCUGAGCCACCCUGGCAGGGAAGCGACGGGUAGUGCCUUUUCAAGUGGUCCUCUCACCUGAGCAGGAGAGAGCGCUCAGGCGCAGGCGAGGCCGUGUGCACGGACAUCCUUCUCUGUCUGCGCUAAACCCAGGAUAUCAGCUUGUGGACUGUAAUUAACGUGCUUUUGGAGCCCUUUGAGCACAGAAGCAGGAUUGACAUGGUGCAGACAUGGCAGCCCAGAGGCGUGUUAUGCUUCGUAUGGGAGUCAGUGUCUCUCUAAGAACCACCAGGUGCCAACCUCACAGAGGAGGAGGUCUGAGGCAGGAAGCAACCCCAGGAACUGGAAGUGGAACUAGAUGAGGUUCCCUCACUGCAGUCCCCACAGGGAACAGGGGGAAGGGAAGGUGACGCUGCAGGGAGAGAGUCUGGGCAGUGGUGACACCUGGAAAAGGAGUCUGGUGGGGCCACACAGAAACAUUAGUACUGAACAGCUGCGAGGGAAAACACAGCACAACACUGACUGACCAAGUACUCUGCAGUCACCUUGUGGGACACGCGAGGCUUACCUAAAACAAGUACCCUGCAGUCACCUUGUGGGACACGCGAGGCUUACCUAAAACAAGUACCCCGCAGUCACCUUGUGGGACAUGUGUGGCUUACCUAAAACAAGUACCCCGCAGUUACCUUGUGGGACAUGCGAGGCUUACCUAAAACAAGUACCCCGCAGUCACCUUGUGGGACGGGUGAGGCUUACCUAAAACAAGUACCCUGCAGUCACCUUGUGGGACACGCGAGGCUUACCUAAAACAAGUACCCCGCAGUCACCUUGUGGGACAUGUGUGGCUUACCUAAAACAAGUACCCCGCAGUCACCUUGUGGGAUGGGUGAGGCUUACCUAAACCAAGUACCCCGCAGUCACCUUGUGGGAUGGGUGAGGCUUACCUAAACCAAGUACCCUGCAGUCACCUUGUGGGACAGGUCAAGCUUUACCUAAAACAAGUACCCUGCAGUCACUUUGUGAGACAUGCAAGGAUUACCUAAACCAAGUACUCUGUAGUCACUGUACUGGACAGGUAAUGCUCACAUAAAUGUGGUCAGAAUUUUAGUUCAAUGCAAGUUAUUAAUGUUUUUUCAGAUCCUAACUACUCUCUGAUUUUGCCCCAUAUAAAAGUAGGACAGAUGCUGAAGGAGGUCCCAUCAGGGAGAUUCCAGCUCAGGCCCUCUCUAAGGUGGCCACCAAGGCGAUUUGCAGGGAGGGUAGAGCAGCCCUGGCGGCAGCCUCCUCAUAACCAGCUCUUCUCUCGCUCUUAGUGGCUGGGCUCCUGACCCCGCCCACGUCCCAAGGCAAUCCCAGACUUAGGAUGCAGGUUAGCAGUCUCCAGCACAUUCCUUUCUUCUUUCCUUCUGUCCUCUACAAGAACUUAGUGAGCACCUCCUGGGUGUCAGGGAUCGCGUUUGGUAUUAGUGCUUCAGAGGAGGAACACAGAUGCAUCUCUGCCGCCACGGGGCUUACGCCUGGGCAAAGGUGAGGAGCAGACAAUCACGUACAUACAAGUGUAAUUUAAGCCUUGAUGAGGGUGACGAUCGGAAGCUGCCAGACGCUAUGUGAGGGUCUAAGGAGAAGGCACGUCUCAGCUUGGGGGCUUAAGGAAAGCCUCUGUUGGGAUGCAGCAUUUGAGCUGAACUCUGAGGAUGGAGAGCAGUCACCAGUCGGGUGAGGGUGGGGAGGAAUGUUCUGUGUGGAUUCCUUGUGCCUACAAAGGUCUAUGAAGGGAAGAAGCCUGGGAUGUUUGACCAUUUGCAAAUAAGACUGCAAGUGGUUGGAACACACAGGGAAGGAGAAUAAUUCGACUUGAGUCUGCAGAGAUAAGCAGGCAGUCACUCCAUGCAGGGCCAUCCUGAAGACUUUGUUCUCUGUCUUAUCAACAAUGGGAAGCCAUUGGGAUGUUUUAAGAACUGGGGAAAGGGCAGCCAAGUGUGGAUGUGGUCAGGUUACAUUCCAAAAAGAACCUUCUGGCUGCAAUACACGAAAUGGAAGGAGCUGGGUGAGGCUAUGGUUGGUGUAGGGGUGAGAUGCUGAGAGGCUGCAGAUGUCCAGGGGAGGUGAUAUCCUGGACUGUAGAGGGAGCAGCCAGUAUGGAGAGAAGUGGAUAGUUCUGAUAGAUAUUUAGAAGGUAGAAUCGGCAGGAUUUGGUGAUGGACUGGGUAUGGUGUGUACGUGUGUGUGUCUGUGGGGGUCGUGGAAAGGUCCAGAAUGACUUCCACAUCCUUGGCUGGCAGAACUAGACGGGUGUCGGUACCACUCACUGAGAGAGGAAACACGGGUAGAAACAGACUUUGUUGGGAGUGGGAAGUCAUGAGUUGUUCUUGGACAUGUUGAAUUUAAGGGACUUUUGCAAUAUCUUUUCCUCUUUUAAGAUAGGAUUUGAAAUUAAUUCAUAGCACAAAUGAGAAUCUUUGACUCAGUCACAGUAUUUGGAUGCUGUUGCAUCCCUGGCUUGAAUGCUCUGUUUCUAUUCGGACCUGGGAGGCACUAUUUCAGGGCUUUGGGGCCAGCCAGAUCUAAUUUCCACAGCUGUCUGUGACAUGGACAGUUUACAUUUAGAAACCUUGGUUUCCUCUCCUACAAAGUGAGAGGCUCAUUGAGGUAAAAUAUGAGUUAAUUCCCCAGCCAGAGUCCUGCCUCACUUGUGAGUAAUGACUCCUCAGCAGAACAGUCUGGAUACCUGGCUUAGGAGAAGCUUUGGGCAUUUUUAUAAACCCACGGAGGUCAGGGCUGUUAAGGAGAAACGUGCCUGUGGGCUAUUUCUCCAUCCUUUUCCUCAGUACACGGGACAGAUGACUUCCUGCUGCUCAGGUAAAUGCCAUGCCAGGAUGUGGCAGAACCUCUUAAUGUGCUCAUCCAGCACCUUCUCCAAGACAGACAAGAGUGUAGUGCCACAGGCCCCUGUCGGCCUGUCUUUACUUCAGUUUAUCUUUCUCUCAAAGCCUCAUCAGAAAAAUAUCUCCUUUGGUUCCUCCACGCACUUUACCUUCAUUUUGUUUUGUCGAUUCCAAUAUUCGUCUUUUCUAAUCAUUAGUGACAGUGUGUGGGUCACCCAGCUCUAUGCUGGCGUGUAGAAGCUACUCAGCACUCCUCAGUUCCCUUCUCAGCAGAAGCCUGAGGUCUUGCAUUUACAGCUUUCUCCGAGGACCUAAUUGCUCACAUCUGAACAGCAGUUAAGUCACCUGCGGAGGCAGAGCUUUCCCCCACAUGUGGUCUGACGCGCAUGUGAGAUGUUUUACAAAGGCUAGAAAACCUUGAACCAUGGCAGAGUCUGCUUAGAGCUGGGUUAGCUCUUAGCUUGAACCCAAGCCCCAGCUCCUGCUUGGCCAACUGCUAGGCUUCAGAGAGGUCACUGGAUUUCAAGACCUCUCAGGACACAGCAAGCCUGGGUUUGGGGGGAAUUUUAAUAUGCUCCCCUUGGAAGAUGGCUUUGGCCACUGUGUAUGGAGCAAGGGGUCCAGACCAAUCUUUUGCUCUAGAUUGUGCACGAUUAAUACUGAAUGUUGAACUCACCUCUGUUCACUCAAUAAAUGCUGCUGAUGCAACAGAAAAAUUCUAUUUUUGUCAAAUUUAGUUGUGUCCAUUUAUUAUUAGUCUGCGGGAAACUUGACGCGGGUGUGUCUUUCUUAUUCUUAUCAAUGGGAAGGUACUAAAUUACAAAUUGUCGUUUAAAUGAUGCCAGCUGGAUACCUUGUUCACAGCAUUUUCAUGGUUUCUCGGGUAUUAGGCCAUGGGCUUUGUUCUUGCUUCUUAGUUUUGGAGAGUAGGGGUCCACUGGGAGAUAUGAAAUAGGUAAUUCAUAUACAUUUAGCAAAUGAUUUACUGAAGAUUAGUUUCUGACACUGCUCUUGCCCUUUUCCAUUAACGUUAGAAAAUACGUUAUUCCACAGGAAAUUUUGAUGUAGUGCUUGUCCUUCCAUCUCCGAGCAGAUGGGAAGUUUGCUUGUGGUUGUGUGCUCCUCACUAGAGUCCUUUUCAAGAGCGUCUCUGAGGUCCAACGUGGCCUUGUCAGAGGGGACUUGCUCAGUGCUUCCUCAGAUCCUUCCCCAGUGGCUGGUCUUGGCACAGCACCAUUGCCGACGUAUUUCUGGGAGAGGG